rnacentral:rRNA from 1 species
GAUGAACGCUGGCGGCGUGCCUAAUACAUGCAAGUCGAGCGAACGGACGAGACGCUUGCUUCUCUGUUGUUAGCGGCGGACGGGUGAGUCACACGUGGAUAACCUACCUAUCAUUCUGGGAUAACUUCGGGACUCCGGAGCUAAUACCGGAUAAUCUUUUGAACCGCAUUGGUCAAUGGUGAAAGACGGUCUUGCUGUCUCUUCUAGCUGGUUCCGCGCUGCAUUAGCUAGUUGGUAAGGUAACGGCUUACCACGGCAACGAUGCAUAGCCGACCUGCCAGGCGGAUCGGCCGCCCGGGAGCUGGGACACGGACCUGACGACUGCGGGAGGCAGCAGAAGGGUAUCUUCCGCAACGGGCGAAAGCCUGACGGAGCAACGCCGCGUGAGUGAUGAAGGUCUUCGGAUCGUAAAACUCUGUUAUGAGUGAAGAACAGAUGUGUAAGGAAAUGUGCACAGCUUGACGGUACCUAAUCAGAAAGCCACGGCUAACUACGUG